GACGAACGCUGGCGGCGUGCCUAACACAUGCAAGUCGAACGGAACUUACCGAAUGAAGUUUUCGGAUGGAUUUUGAUAAGUUUAGUGGCGGACGGGUGAGUAACGCGUGAGUAACCUGCCUUCAAGAGGGGAAUAACAGUGAGAAAUCACUGCUAAUACCGCAUAUGCUUACACUAUCACAUGAUAGAGUGAGGAAAGGAGUAAUCCACUAGUAGAUGGGCUCGCGUCUGAUUAGCUAGUUGGCGGGGUAACGGCCCACCAAGGCGACGAUGCGUAGGGGUUCUGAGAGGAAGGUCCCCCACAUUGGUACUGAGACACGGACCAA
rnacentral:rRNA from 1 species